AAUGAACGUUGGCGGCAUGGAUUAGGCAUGCAAGUCGAGCGAGAAGGGUUUUGAAGCUUGCUUUAGAACCUGGAAAGCGGCGGAAGGGAGAGUAACGAGUAGUUAUCUACCCCAAGGCCCGGAAUAGCUGCGGGAAACUGCAGGUAAUGCCGGAUAAUAUCCCCGGAUCAAAGGUGUGAUUCCGCCUUGGGAGGAGACUGCUUUGUACUAGCUUGUUGGUGGGGUAAUGGCCUACCAAGGCUACGAUGCAUAGCGGGCGUGAGAGCGUGGCCCGUCUCACUGGGACUGAAACACUGCCCAGACACCUACGGGUGGCUGCAGUCGAGAAUCUUCGGCAAUGGGCGAAAGCCUGACCGAGCGAUGCCGCGUGCGGGAUGAAGGCCCUCGGGUUGUAAACCGCUGUCGUAGAGGAGAAAGGUCUCGUGAAGAGCGAGAUUUGAUCUAUUCUAGGAGGAAGUCGGGGCUAAGUUCGUGCCAGCAGCCGCGGUAACACGAACCCGACGAACGUUAUUCGGAAUUAUUGGGCUUAAAGGGUGCGUAGGCGGUGCGGUAAGUGCGGUGUGAAAGCCCUCGGCUCAACCGAGGAAAUUGCGCUGCAUACUGCCGUGCUGGAGGGAGACAGGGGUAAGCGGAACUGAUGGUGGAGCGGUGAAAUGCGUUGAUAUCAUCAGGAACACCGGUGGCGAAAGCGGCUUACUGGGUCUUCUCUGACGCUGAGGCGCGAAAGCUAGGGUAGCGAACGGGAUUAGAUACCCCGGUAGUCCUAGCCGUAAACGAUGAGCACUUGAUUGAGGGCCCCCCCAUAGGCUCUCGAUCGCAGCGAAAGUGUUAAGUGCUCCGCCUGGGGAGUAUGGUCGCAAGGCUGAAACUCAAAGGAAUUGACGGGGGCUCACACAAGCGGUGGAGGAUGUGGCUUAAUUCGAGGCUACGCGAAGAACCUUAUCCAGGCCUUGACAUGUACGGAUGCUGCCCGUGAAAGCGGGUUAGUUGCCUUCGGGUGAAACGUGCACAGGUGCUGCAUGGCUGUCGUCAGCUCGUGUCGUGAGAUGUCGGGUUAAGUCCCUUAACGAGCGAAACCCUUGUCCUUAGUUGCCAGCGAGUCAUGUCGGGGACUCUAAGGAGACUGCCGGCGUUAAGCCGGAGGAAGGUGGGGAUGACGUCAAGUCCUCAUGGCCUUUAUGGUCUGGGCUGCACACGUCCUACAAUGGCAUAUACAAAGGGAUGCUACCUCGCGAGAGCAAGCAAAUCCCAAAAAGUAUGCCCCAGUUCGGAUUGCAGGCUGCAACUCGCCUGCAUGAAGCCGGAAUCGCUAGUAAUCGUGGGUCAGCAUACCACGGUGAAUAUGUUCCUGAGCCUUGUACACACCGC
rnacentral:rRNA from 1 species